rnacentral:rRNA from 1 species
GACGAACGCUGGCGGCGUGCUUAACACAUGCAAGUCGAACGGAAAGGCCCUGCUUUUGUGGGGUGCUCGAGUGGCGAACGGGUGAGUAACACGUGAGUAACCUGCCCUUGACUUUGGGGUAAAUUCAGGAAACUGGGGCUAAUACCGGAUAGGAGCUCCUGCUGCAUGGUGGGGGGUGGAAAGGUUCGGCGGUUGGGGAUGGACUCGCGGCUUAUCAGCUUGUUGGUGGGGUAGUGGCUUACCAAGGCUUUGACGGGUAGCCGGCCUGAGAGGGUGACCGGCCACAUUGGGACUGAGAUACGGCCCAGACUCCUACGGGAGGCAGCAGUGGGGAAUAUUGCACAAUGGGCGGAAGCCUGAUGCAGCAACGCCGCGUGCGGGAUGACGGCCUUCGGGUUGUAAACCGCUUUCGCCUGUGACGAAGCGUGAGUGACGGUAAUGGGUAAAGAAGCACCGGCUAACUACGUG